rnacentral:RNase_MRP_RNA from 2 species
UCCUCGUCCGACAAAUCGCCAUCGAAGCUCACAAACAGAGACGCUUUCCUUCGGGGAACGUCUCGAUCUUUCGGGAUCACACUAGCUUUGGGAGAAAGUCCCCGGACACACGUUGUCUUCCUUUCGGGGAAGUACGAAACGCCGCGGAAACGCGCCGCCAUAGAAGCACUGCGGCUGACCUCCAAGACCUGCGUCCGGAUGUAAUUGCCCUCUCCCCUCCGCCCCGCCUGGUCGUUACACCGUCGCGGCUCUUUCUGUACCCGGUCCGAACAACCUUACUUGCGAUCCCGAGACCCCAUGGACGAAGAUAUGAGUCCGCGCUCGGGAUCAAGGGUUUGGGAUAGCUUCGGCUGGUAUGGGAAAGUGGCCCUUUGGUGACUGGGUGGCCGCGUGGGAGGGUCGCUUGCCGGGCGAAUUCAAGGGUCGGUCGGAGGAUAUUUCGUCGAGAUUUGAUAGGUAUGCGAUUGCCCUCCCUUCACGGGGAUGGGUUACUCGAUGGGGCUUAUUCUCGGCGCGAGG